AGUGAACGCUGGCGGUAGGCCUAACACAUGCAAGUCGAACGGCAGCACAGUAAGAGCUUGCUCUUACAGGUGGCGAGUGGCGGACGGGUGAGGAAUACAUCGGAAUCUACUUUUUCGUGGGGGAUAACGUAGGGAAACUUACGCUAAUACCGCAUACGACCUACGGGUGAAAGCAGGGGAUCUUCGGACCUUGCGCGAUUGAAUGAGCCGAUGUCGGAUUAGCUAGUUGGCGGGGUAAAGGCCCACCAAGGCGACGAUCCGUAGCUGGUCUGAGAGGAUGAUCAGCCACACUGGAACUGAGACACGGUCCAGACUCCUACGGGAGGCAGCAGUGGGGAAUAUUGGGCAAUGGGCGCAAGCCUGAUCCAGCCAUACCGCGUGAGUGACGAAGGCCUUCGGGUUGUAAAGCCCUUUUGUUGGGAAAGAAAAGCAGCAGGUUAAUACCCCGCUGUUCUGACGGUACCCAAAGAAUAAGCACCGGCUAACUUCGUG
rnacentral:rRNA from 1 species